CAGUCGCCGCGGGAAUACAGAGGGUGCAAGCGUUAAUCGGAAUUACUGGGCGUAAAGCGCGCGUAGGUGGUUUGUUAAGUUGGAUGUGAAAGCCCCGGGCUCAACCUGGGAACUGCAUCCAAAACUGGCAAGCUAGAGUACGGUAGAGGGUGGUGGAAUUUCCUGUGUAGCGGUGAAAUGCGUAGAUAUAGGAAGGAACACCAGUGGCGAAGGCGACCACCUGGACUGAUACUGACACUGAGGUGCGAAAGCGUGGGGAGCAAACAGGAUUAGAUACCCCUGUAGUCCCUGUCUCUUUACA
rnacentral:rRNA from 1 species